CAACCUGGGCUGGUGAUCUGU
rnacentral:miRNA from 1 species